GGGUUGUGAGGUUAAGCGACUAAGCGUACACGGUGGAUGCCCUGGCAGUCAGAGGCGAUGAAGGGCGUGCUAAUCUGCGAUAAGCGCCGGUAAGGUGAUAUGAACCGUUAUAACCGGCGAUACCCGAAUGGGGAAACCCAGUGUGACUCGUCACACUAUCAUUAACUGAAUCCAUAGGUUAAUGAGGCGAACCGGGGGAACUGAAACAUCUAAGUACCCCGAGGAAAAGAAAUCAACCGAGAUUCCCCCAGUAGCGGCGAGCGAACGGGGAGGAGCCCAGAGCCUGAAUCAGCAUGUGUGUUAGUGGAAGCGUCUGGAAAGGCGCGCGAUACAGGGUGACAGCCCCGUACACAAAAGCGCAUGUGCUGUGAGCUCGAUGAGUAGGGCGGGACACGUGGUAUCCUGUCUGAAUAUGGGGGGACCAUCCUCCAAGGCUAAAUACUCCUGACUGACCGAUAGUGAACCAGUACCGUGAGGGAAAGGCGAAAAGAACCCCGGCGAGGGGAGUGAAAAAGAACCUGAAACCGUGUACGUACAAGCAGUGGGAGCCCCACCACCAAAGCAUUAUCUGGUGUUGAAGGCCCUGCAAAGCAGCAUCGCGGUGGCGGAGCGUCGUUUGCGACGCCCAACACACAAAACAAGCGGUGAAUGCUUUGGGGUGGGGUGACUGCGUACCUUUUGUAUAAUGGGUCAGCGACUUAUAUUCUGUAGCAAGGUUAACCGAAUAGGGGAGCCGGAGGGAAACCGAGUCUUAAUUGGGCGUUAAGUUGCAGGGUAUAGACCCGAAACCCGGUGAUCUAGCCAUGGGCAGGUUGAAGGUUGGGUAACACUAACUGGAGGACCGAACCGACUAAUGUUGAAAAAUUAGCGGAUGACCUGUGGCUGGGGGUGAAAGGCCAAUCAAACCGGGAGAUAGCUGGUUCUCCCCGAAAGCUAUUUAGGUAGCGCCUCGUGAAUUCAUCUCCGGGGGUAGAGCACUGUUUCGGCUAGGGGGCCAUCCCGGCUUACCAACCCGAUGCAAACUGCGAAUACCGGAGAAUGUUAUCACGGGAGACACACGGCGGGUGCUAACGUCCGUCGUGAAGAGGGAAACAACCCAGACCGCCAGCUAAGGUCCCAAAGUCAUGGUUAAGUGGGAAACGAUGUGGGAAGGCCCAGACAGCCAGGAUGUUGGCUUAGAAGCAGCCAUCAUUUAAAGAAAGCGUAAUAGCUCACUGGUCGAGUCGGCCUGCGCGGAAGAUGUAACGGGGCUAAACCAUGCACCGAAGCUGCGGCAGCGAACGUAUCACCCAAGACAACUUUACGGAGUUGACGAUUGACGGAGCGAAGCGACGUCAAAGCGUUCAUUAAAGUCGAGUUGGCUUAGGGAUACGUUCGUUGGGUAGGGGAGCGUUCUGUAAGCCUGUGAAGGUGUGUCGUGAGGCAUGCUGGAGGUAUCAGAAGUGCGAAUGCUGACAUAAGUAACGAUAAAGCGGGUGAAAAGCCCGCUCGCCGGAAGACCAAGGGUUCCUGUCCAACGUUAAUCGGGGCAGGGUGAGUCGACCCCUAAGGCGAGGCCGAAAGGCGUAGUCGAUGGGAAACGGGUUAAUAUUCCCGUACUUGGUGUUACUGCGAAGGGGGGACGGAGAAGGCUAUGUUGGCCGGGCGACGGUUGUCCCGGUUUAAGCGUGUAGGUGUGUGUUCCAGGUAAAUCCGGUUCACUUUAACACUGAGGCGUGACGACGAGGCACUACGGUGCUGAAGCAACAAAUGCCCUGCUUCCAGGAAAAGCCUCUAAGCAUCAGGUAACAUCAAAUCGUACCCCAAACCGACACAGGUGGUCAGGUAGAGAAUACCAAGGCGCUUGAGAGAACUCGGGUGAAGGAACUAGGCAAAAUGGUGCCGUAACUUCGGGAGAAGGCACGCUGACACGUAGGUGAAGUGAUUUACUCAUGGAGCUGAAGUCAGUCGAAGAUACCAGCUGGCUGCAACUGUUUAUUAAAAACACAGCACUGUGCAAACACGAAAGUGGACGUAUACGGUGUGACGCCUGCCCGGUGCCGGAAGGUUAAUUGAUGGGGUCAGCGCAAGCGAAGCUCCUGAUCGAAGCCCCGGUAAACGGCGGCCGUAACUAUAACGGUCCUAAGGUAGCGAAAUUCCUUGUCGGGUAAGUUCCGACCUGCACGAAUGGCGUAAUGAUGGCCAGGCUGUCUCCACCCGAGACUCAGUGAAAUUGAACUCGCUGUGAAGAUGCAGUGUACCCGCGGCAAGACGGAAAGACCCCGUGAACCUUUACUAUAGCUUGACACUGAACAUUGAGCCUUGAUGUGUAGGAUAGGUGGGAGGCUUUGAAGUGUGGACGCCAGUCUGCAUGGAGCCGACCUUGAAAUACCACCCUUUAAUGUUUGAUGUUCUAACGUGGACCCGUAAUCCGGGUUGCGGACAGUGUCUGGUGGGUAGUUUGACUGGGGCGGUCUCCUCCUAAAGAGUAACGGAGGAGCACGAAGGUUGGCUAAUCCUGGUCGGACAUCAGGAGGUUAGUGCAAUGGCAUAAGCCAGCUUGACUGCGAGCGUGACGGCGCGAGCAGGUGCGAAAGCAGGUCAUAGUGAUCCGGUGGUUCUGAAUGGAAGGGCCAUCGCUCAACGGAUAAAAGGUACUCCGGGGAUAACAGGCUGAUACCGCCCAAGAGUUCAUAUCGACGGCGGUGUUUGGCACCUCGAUGUCGGCUCAUCACAUCCUGGGGCUGAAGUAGGUCCCAAGGGUAUGGCUGUUCGCCAUUUAAAGUGGUACGCGAGCUGGGUUUAGAACGUCGUGAGACAGUUCGGUCCCUAUCUGCCGUGGGCGCUGGAGAACUGAGGGGGGCUGCUCCUAGUACGAGAGGACCGGAGUGGACGCAUCACUGGUGUUCGGGUUGUCAUGCCAAUGGCACUGCCCGGUAGCUAAAUGCGGAAGAGAUAAGUGCUGAAAGCAUCUAAGCACGAAACUUGCCCCGA
rnacentral:rRNA from 1 species